rnacentral:tRNA from 1 species
ACCUGGGUGGCUCAGUCGGUUGAGCGUCUGACUUUGGCUCAGGUCAUGAUCUCAUGGUCCGUGAGUUCGAGCCCCGCAUCAGGCU